rnacentral:rRNA from 1 species
UACGAAGGGGGCGAGCGUUGUUCGGAUUUACUGGGCGUAAAGGGCGCGUAGGCGGUUUGUACAGUCAGGUGUGAAAUUCCCGGGCUCAACCUGGGGGCUGCACUUGAUACGUAGGAACUUGAGUGGGGAAGAGGGUCGUGGAAUUCCCAGUGUAGAGGUGAAAUUCGUAGAUAUUGGGAAGAACACCGGUGGCGAAGGCGGCGACCUGGUCCUUGACUGACGCUGAGGCGCGAAAGCGUGGGGAGCAAACAGG